CCCGCUGAACUUAAGCAUAUCAAUAAGCGGAGGAAAAGAAACUAACAAGGAUUCCCCUAGUAACUGCGAGUGAAGCGGGAAAAGCUCAAAUUUAAAAUCUGGUGGUCUUUGGCCAUCCGAGUUGUAAUUUAGAGAAGCGUCUUCCGCGCUGGACCACGCACAAGUCUCCUGGAAUGGAGCGUCAUAGAGGGUGAGAAUCCCGUCUUUGGCAUGGACCCCCAGUGCUUCUGUGAUGCGCUCUCAAAGAGUCGAGUUGUUUGGGAAUGCAGCUCAAAAUGGGUGGUGAACUCCAUCUAAAGCUAAAUAUUGGCGAGAGACCGAUAGCGAACAAGUACCGUGAGGGAAAGAUGAAAAGCACUUUGGAAAGAGAGUGAAACAGUACGUGAAAUUGUUGAAAGGGAAACGCUUGAAGUCAGUCGCGUCGACCGAGACUCAGCCUUGCCUUGGCUUGGUGUACUUCUCGGCUGACGGGUCAGCAUCAAUUUUGAUCCUUGGAUAAUGGCAAGGGAAAGGUGGCACCUUUGCGGGUGUGUUAUAGUCUCCUGUCGCAUGCGAGGGGUGGGAUUGAGGAACUCAGCGCGCACCUUGGUGUCGGGGCUUCGGCCCACGUCACGCGCUUAGGAUGCUGGCGUAAUGGCUUUAAACGACCCGUCUUGAAACACGG
rnacentral:rRNA from 1 species